rnacentral:piRNA from 1 species
UGGCUGUGCUAGAGAGGGCAAUCCAGUC